rnacentral:lncRNA from 1 species
CUUCCAUAUGUCAUCGUGUGUGUCGGAAUCAGUUUUAGUAAACUCAGGUAACCACAAGUUUGUGAUUUUAUUGUAUGAAAAUGUUGUUUCUAUUUCAUUUUUGAAGCUAGUCCAUAUGAGUGAGUAUGAAGAUGGAAUAGAUUUGUAUCUGAACAUGAAAAGAAAGACCAACAAUAUGGUAGAAUGAACAGAUGUGUGCACUUAUAUGAAACAUGAUUUAAACCAUUGAGUCCUGAGAAGGAACCAGAUUGUUGUUGUUGUCGAUCUUUUCGACUGUAAAUUUUAGGCAAUUUACAAAACAAUUUUUCCUAAUAUAUAUUAUUCUAUUUAUUUUUGUUCUAUUCUAUUUGGGUUUAGGGUUUAUAUCUGAAUUUAGAGUUUAUAUUUGGGCUUAGGGAUAAGUGAUUAGAGUUUAGGGUUUAGUAUUUAGGGGUUGGGAGUGGAGUUGGGAUGCUGUUUAUUAUGUAGGGGUUCUGAUUGGGUUGGUGUCCUAUAUUAUUUUGGUGAUAUGGAAUAGAAUACUCUGAAAAUUUCAUUAGCUUGUACUAUAUUAUAUAUUAUAUUGUAAAUCAUUUGUAUUUUUGUUUGUAUAAUAUGUUCUAAUUUAUUGAUUUGUAUAUUUUAUGUUUAUCAACACUAAAAUAUAUUUCAUACUAUUUUAUACUACAUAAGUUCAUACUAUGUACUAUAUGGUAAAUAAGUGUUGGAUGUAGACUUUGUUACGUAAUGAGAUUAUAAUUUGUUGUGCUUUAUUUGUGUUCAUAACUACAAUCAACGACGUCAUCCAUUGUUUUUCUUUUUACCGAGUACUUGUUAAAGAAAAGGGUAUAACUGGCUCAAAUAAGGACAAAAUGUUAGUAAGUUAAUAAUGUCAAAAUCAGUGUCAUUUUCUUCAUUUUCAUUGACAUUUUGGUUACUCACCAAAUUAACCCUUCUAUUUAUAGUGAUUCUUUUUUUUCCGAGAAAGGGCUUUAUUUAUAAUGAUUCUUUAUAUCGAGAUAACACAACGUGUAACUUAUUAUAUCUACACGCAGUUUAAUCUUUUGUGUGUAUAUUAAAUUAAUCUAUAAUUUAGGUCAGGCAAAUACCAAAAUCAGUAUAAGAUAGAAUAACAAAAAGUAAUUAAAGAAAUAACUUUUCAAGAUAUCAAACAAAAUAUAUCUACUUUUAACUUGACUACGCGUUUACACUUGUUUUUUUCAAGAUAUCAAACACAAAAAUUAUUGUAUUAUUUAUAUACUAGUGGUUAAUUAUAUAUUUUAUAAUUUUUUCAAAUAAAUUUUUUUUUAUAAGAAGUUGUAGGUUUAGGAUUUAAUGAUUAGGUUUGGGAUUUAUUAUUAAUGGAUAGUGCAAAGUUAAAAUUUAUAAUUUAAUAUAAAUCCUUUCGAAAUUUAUAUCGGAUGAUAUAUGUACUUGGAUAUAAAUAUUGUUCGUUUACACACUAUUAAAUUAAUAUUUAGAUGAUGCAAAUUCAUAACAUUUAAAAAAAUCUAAAUAUUCAAAAUGCAAAAAUGUUGAAUUUAGAUGCAACAUUUUCAUCUCAAAAUCCAAAAAAACUUUAAUGCACUUCAAUACAAUAUAA